GAUGAACGCUAGCUACAGGCUUAACACAUGCAAGUCGAGGGGAAACGAUGAGAGAGCUUGCUCUCUUAGUCGUCGACCGGCGCACGGGUGAGUAACGCGUAUCCAACCUGCCUCUGACCAAGGGAUAACCCGUCGAAAGUCGGACUAAUACCUUAUGCAGUCGUCGGAAGUCAUCUGAUGACGACGAAAGAUUUCAUCGGUGAGAGAUGGGGAUGCGUCUGAUUAGCUUGUUGGCGGGGUAACGGCCCACCAAGGCGACGAUCAGUAGGGGUUCUGAGAGGAAGGUCCCCCACAUUGGAACUGAGACACGGUCCAAACUCCUACGGGAGGCAGCAGUGAGGAAUAUUGGUCAAUGGGCGUAAGCCUGAACCAGCCAAGUAGCGUGCAGGAUGACGGCCCUAUGGGUGGUAAACUGCUUUUAUGCGGGGAUAAAGUGAGGGACGUGUCCUUCAUUGCAGGUACCGCAUGAAUAAGGACCGGCUAAUUCCGUG
rnacentral:rRNA from 1 species